CCGAACCGACUAAUGUUGAAAAAUUAGCGGAUGACCUGUGGCUGGGGGUGAAAGGCCAAUCAAACCGGGAGAUAGCUGGUUCUCCCCGAAAGCUAUUUAGGUAGCGCCUCGUGAAUUCAUCUCCGGGGGUAGAGCACUGUUUCGGCUAGGGGGCCAUCCCGGCUUACCAACCCGAUGCAAACUGCGAAUACCGGAGAAUGUUAUCACGGGAGACACACGGCGGGUGCUAACGUCCGUCGUGAAGAGGGAAACAACCCAGACCGCCAGCUAAGGUCCCAAAGUCAUGGUUAAGUGGGAAACGAUGUGGGAAGGCCCAGACAGCCAGGAUGUUGGCUUAGAAGCAGCCAUCAUUUAAAGAAAGCGUAAUAGCUCACUGGUCGAGUCGGCCUGCGCGGAAGAUGUAACGGGGCUAAACCAUGCACCGAAGCUGCGGCAGCGACACUGUGUGUUGU
rnacentral:rRNA from 2 species